rnacentral:tRNA from 1 species
UGGGGUGUAGCUCAGUGGUAGAAUGCUUGCCUAGUGUGCAUGGGGCCCUGCGUUCAAUCCCCAGCACCACAA